UCGUCACAAGUGAUGAGAAGACAAAGCUUGACAUUCACUAGUAGAAAAACACAAAUGGGCACCAACAAAUGAGCACCGGUCUUUAAGAACCGGUGCGUAAAACACAAGCCCAUACCCAAAAAUUUAAAAAUUGGCUUAAAACUAAGUUAAAGGCAUUGAUUAACCGGUGCCAUUAAUCCCAAAAAAUAAAAAACCAAACACAUGCCUACCCCUUCUCUUUGUCUAUCACUCUCACUCUUUCUCUUCUCUUUCUCCGGUCCCUUUCCCUUUCUCUAUCUCUCUCUCCCUUGAGUACUCCACCGUCGCCCCUUCCACUGCCGCUAGCCCACUCUCUUCUUUUGCUUUUUAUCCCUCUAUUUCUUUUGUCCUUUUAUUCACCCUCUCAUUCACUCUCUUCUCAGCUCUCUUUUUCUCGAUUUCUUCUCUCCUCAUUCACAAGUGGCGGCGAGGAUGAUGGUUGCGACGUCCAUCGUAAGGGUCUAUUUCCUUACCAGCGCUAGAUCCUUGAAAUGGUGGUGGAUCUCUUCACGAAGGUUUCUGACAAGCAAUAUGUUAACUGGAACCAUUCCCAGCUGGACAGUAGGUUUGGGCUUCCAACCUUAAUGUCACAAGUUAUUCUUAGAUUUAGUUGUGAUGGUUUUGUAAUUUGGACUCUAAUUUUAUUUUAUUUUUUCUUUCAACCAUGUAGACCUCUCUUACAACAAUUUUAAUGCUAGCUCUAUACCUUUUCAUUGUGAUAAAUCAACUCUGUAAGUGUACAAUAAUAUCUACACGAAAACAUUAUCUUGAACAUUUUAUAAUCCUUUUCAGUAUUCUCCAUUAGAUGAAAACAAGUUCUUAGAAGGUUAUGGAAAUGUCCUUUUCACCCCAAGAUGCUCCAUUCACCCGAUGCUCAACUAAUGGAAAUGUCUGCUUUUGCUCUUGGAAGGUUGGCUUAGGUGGGAUGAAUGUGAACGUCAAGGUUGACGGAGAUGAAUCAUCUCCUUAUGCUGCAUGCUGCUAUGCUUCAGCCGCAUGCUUUGCUAUGCCCCUGCUGCUGAUCUCCUCUACACUACUGUUUACAAUAUUAAGCUAUGUUAUGUAAAUUUGGUUUUUUUUUUCAACUAAAAUUGUAAUAUUACAGCUUUGUAUUAAUGAAAAUUAUAAGUUUAUAUAUAUGUUAGUGUUUAUGUGUCAAUUUAUUUUUUUUAUAAUUUUUUAGGCAUUAUUCGCACUGGUGCGAAUAACUUUUUUUUUUUUUUUUAAACUUUUGAAGGCAUUAUUCGCACCUGUAAUAACCCGUAUUUUUAUACGUAUAUUAAUUUAAA